rnacentral:misc_RNA from 1 species
UGCAUCUUCCAGGCAU